rnacentral:sRNA from 1 species
AAUAGGCACCGCUGCGGGGACUGGAGUCGGCGGAGAAACCGGGGUCCCCAGCGCUGGGGCCCGCGGCGCCAUGGCUCACGUCGGCUCCCGCAAGCGCUCGAGGAGUCGCAGCCGGUCCCGGGGACGGGGGUCGGAAAAGAGAAAGAAGAAGAGCAGGAAGGACGCCUCGAGGAACUGCUCGGCCUCCACAUCCCAAGGUCGCAAGGCCAGCACGGCCCCUGGGGUGGAGGGUGAGGACCACAGGCAUCGGGGAGAGGAGGCGCAGCUACUUCCUGGGGAAGUCGGGGCGAGCAGUGGUCGGGGACGCUCAGUCAUGCCUUUGUGCAGCCGGGCCUGAGGUGUGAGGGCCAGGCGCCGCAGGAGCCGGGAAGGGGCUCCUCUGGGAAGCUCCAUCUCUGUUCUGGAAAGCCCCUUAGAAAGUGCCCACGCUGUAGACUGUCUGUGCCUGCGCUAGGCCAGAGCAGGGGAGGAAGGUUUACCUCUUCUCCUCCUGGCCUUCCAGCCUCACCUUCUCCCUGCAUCACAGAGAGAAGCAAGCAGAAGGCCCGGAGGAGACCACGAUCCAGCUCCUCCUCCUCUUCUUCCAGUUCUUCUAGCUCCUCUUCUUCCUCCUCGUCCUCCUCCUCUUCCUCCAGUGAUGGCCGGAAGAAGCGGGGGAAGUACAAGGACAAGAAGAGGAAGAAGAAGAAGAGAAGGAAGAAGCUGAAGAAGAAGGGCAAGGAGAAGGCGGAAGCACAGCAGGUGGAGGCUCUGCCGGGCCCCUCGCUGGACCAGUGGCACCGAUCAGCUGGGGAGGAAGAGGAUGGCCCAGGUACUGUGCUGCCCAGCACCUGAGAGGGAGAAGGUCCCUUCCCAAGGCCUGGUCACCACCUCCGUCUUCCCUUCCAGUCCUGACGGAUGAGCAGAAGUCCCGAAUCCAGGCCAUGAAGCCCAUGACCAAGGAGGAGUGGGAUGCCCGGCAGAGCAUCAUCCGCAAGGUGGUGGACCCCGAGACGGGGCGCACCAGGCUUAUUAAGGGAGAUGGCGAGGUCCUAGAGGAAAUCGUAACCAAAGAACGACACAGAGAGAUCAACAAGGUGGGUGUGGCCCCUCUGCCUGCCAUCCGCCCCCAGCUCUGUUUGUGAUGUACCCCUCCUCCUGUGUGCUUUCUUCCCCAGCAAGCCACCCGAGGGGACGGCCUGGCCUUCCAGAUGCGAGCUGGGUUGCUUCCCUGAGGGCCCCCGUUGGCCAAGGCCUGUGGACGGUGCUGGCGGCCCAGCCUGGGCAGGUUUCAGGGUGCCAGUGGGAAGCCUGAUGGGUGCUGGUGGCCUUUCCCCCGUGGAUUGGCCUCUGGGCCAGCCCAGCCUCUUCUCAGGGGCAGGGGGUGGAGGUUGAGGUCACCGGCCUGCUUGGCACCCCUAUCUGAAAGAGCAACACUUUUCAGCUAUUAAAGGCCCUCUGGAUAGAC